GGCUGGCGUGCGCUCCGGCCGGGCUGCCUCUCAGGUCCACGCUGGAGAAGGAGUGGUGAGGUGCGCUCGCCCCGGCUGCGUGCGGUGAUUCGGGAAAUCCCCGCACUUCGCUGGAGAAAUAGCGACGCUCUCGGAAGUGUGAGUCGGUCACUGCUUGGGGUCCGUACCCUUUGGGCAGACGUGGACCGCGCCCCGGCGACCUGGGUUGAGUGGACAGACGGGACCCGGCUUACCCAUGGGCCAAGCCCUGCCACUUAACCGAGGCCUGCCCUGCUGUGCUUUCCAGGGCGGCAACCUUGAGCUUGGGGGUGGGGAGAACGGGGCCUGACUUCUAGAAUUGCCCCUGGGGAGGUGGGAAGCGGAGGUUUGGCCCGGUGGCGCAGGAAGCCCCUGUUCCUCUCCCAAACACCAUUUCAUUAAAGAUGGAUCUUUGUGGAUGUGUU
rnacentral:lncRNA from 1 species